rnacentral:rRNA from 1 species
UACAGAGGUCUCAAGCGUUGUUCGGAUUCAUUGGGCGUAAAGGGUGCGUAGGCGGCGCGGUAAGUCGGGUGUGAAAUCUCGGAGCUUAACUCCGAAACUGCAUUCGAUACUGCCGUGCUCGAGGACUGGAGAGGAGACUGGAAUUUACGGUGUAGCGGUGAAAUGCGUAGAUAUCGUAAGGAAGACCAGUGGCGAAGGCGGGUCUCUGGACAGUUCCUGACGCUGAGGCACGAAGGCCAGGGGAGCAAACGGG